AAUGACCUUUAGCUCUAUACUCUCCAUUGAUUUGUAUUUUAUGUAGCGGUAUUUCCUUGAAAGAGCGUUGGUUUUCUAACCUCCUAUUAUAUACUCCACCAUACGUAUUUUCAUGUGCUUCAUCUAAUUAUUUUUUAACGUACUUUUAUUUUUAUACUUUGGCUGCUUUAACACAAUACCAGCCAUAACUCUUGACUUUACCUCCAGCCUUUGAACAAAGUACAUCCAGGAGGACAGGACGGGCACUAUCACACACUGAACAAUCCACUUAUGCGAUAAGUCAUUUUCCCUUCCUUGCAGUUAUCUUCAAAGAUAAAAGGUCUCAAAGCAAGACUUUUCUUCCAUUUGUUUCUAUGGAGUCCCAGGGAAACUUUGGCUCCUGCAUUGUAUAAGCAAAUGUCAACUUACUGUGAAAGGGAGGGGGGUUGAAAGCUGCUUUCUCCUCCUUCCUCCCUAAUCAGUGACUCCUGAGCUUGGUGUACCCUGACUGGUAGGUAGGUCGGUUCUUUUGUGUGAACGUCUAGACCUUCUUCCUCUCUCCCUGUGAAGAUGGGGCCUAUAACCAUCCCUGAUAUGUCUGGAAGUGACACAUAGCUUACUAACACUGAAGAAAGGACUGGACACUGAUUCAUCAGAUUGGCUUUACACCUCAGCUGAGCAGGCUGCCAAAAAGUCCUCUUCUGCUUAAUGGCAAGAGAAGCGAUUUCAGGAAAGGUUUAUGUUGACAUACUUGAGACAUCUAGUUUGGGAAAGGGUGAAGCCAUGGGUCUGUACCAUCUGUAAGACUGGCAGUGUACCUCUCUAGGAGAAAGAAACUCUUCCCACCCAGAAAGAAAAAAAGAAGUCUCAAAUAAAUUACAUACCACAGACCACCUCAUCUAAACCCCCAAACAAAAUUAUGGAAUGAACCUUAUGGAAGCUACUUCCUAGCCCCAAGAAUAAGGUGACAGUGAACAAAUUGGGACAAAUUUUACUUGAUCAACCUGGAUAACUUUCAUCAUUAAAUGACUGCCUCUGAACAAGUUGAACAAACCCUGAACAACCUGACCAAACUUGGAAGAUAGCCCUGCUCUGAGUUUGGACUUGAUGACCUCCAGUGGUCCAACCUAAAUUAUUCUACAAUUUGACGAUUGAAUACCAGAAGAUGGAGCAUACAUAGGCCUUUGGCAUCUUUAGAGGGAUUUGAGACUGCAAUGAUUAUACUUAUGGGGAAAUAAAUUAUAAUUAUGUUCUGCUAGAAGUCCCAGUUUGGAGCUGUUCCCAUUCUUGAAUCCAGAAGAGCAGCAGUUGUGCUGCCUCAUAAGUCUGCUGUGAAAAGAACUGCAUUAGACUGAUGUGCCUGUAACUAUAACCAUGAAGGCCAUAGCAUGCUCUGAUCUGUCUAGGUAAUUAGUUACUGCCCCUUAAUCUCAAAAGCACCCUUAAAACUUACCAAUGACACAUCACUCUAUGAAAGAAGGAAAACAUGACUGUUCUACAGACCAAAUACCUGACCAAAAAUUCAAGCACCUUUCUCUUCCACAGGAUUUCCCUAAUCUAAACAAGAUAGCACAGAUCUGUUUUUAAGCAACGGAACCACUCUGUUUUGCACAAACAAGUGGAACUAGGCAAGUUUCCCACAAUGCAGUUAAACUGGGGAACAUGGAAUGAACAGCAAAAAAUAAAUCACAAGGAAAGGAAACUAAGGAAAUGUAUUAUUUCCAGGGAGACUGCCACCAAUAUCUGAUGUGGUUAACACAGAUCAGCACUGGGCAGAAACACAUUCUCUUGAAUAAAUGGGGAAAUAGCAAGGCUAACUUUCCUUGGCUACUACACAUACAUUUCCUUGAGUUUGUUUCUGUAUUAAAUCAUUUGCUGUCUUGUUUAUCUUUGUUUGAAAUCUGCAUGUUGUUAACGGUUUUAUUAGUUGAAUUAAAGUGAUUUGUGAGCCAACUGGGAUUAAAGCAAGAAUUCUCUAGUCUUCCCCCUGCCCCUGCACACACUUACAGUGGCAGAGAUGAAUUCAUGCAUGCCAGCCCCUCUAGGCUCAUUUAUGAACCCCCAUGGGAAGGAGAUUUGUGAUCUCUUACACUAUGGUCACCACCUCCCCCCCUUCCUCUUUAAUAGUUCAUGAAGAGCACUGUGUCUACCACUGUCCAAGUCUCCGGAGAUCUUAGCAGCUAAAGGACACAACAGUGGGAUACAAAAAAAAAGGAGCUAAAUAUUUGUCAUGAGGUUUGAGCAGAAUUUUGGCAACCCUUAACUGAACACUUUAAUCCAGAAAAAUCCUCUCUAGUUCAAGAAUCGCUUGAAUCAUACAAGUGCCUGCAUUUCCCUCCUGUAAAGCAUCAUGCCUGGUAACAAGGGUGUUGACACCUAAUCCUAAUGGUAGUCUGUGCCUAAUGCUUUUCCAGAUUUCAAAAUGCCAGUUUGAAAGAAUGUAGUCUUAAUAUAGUAUAAAAUGCCUGACUCAAAGCAGGUAGAAGCUGCAUUCAUAGGCUUUAUAAACCAGCAUCCAAGGCACCUCCUAACACUCACCAUGCUUCCAGCAAGAUGCUUCCUGCUCUGCAACAUGAUGAACUACUGAUGCACCUGUCAAUUGGACGAGGAGAAAAGUAUUUUGCACGGGGAAUUGGCCUUCAUCCCAGGCCACACAUCUACCACAUGGGUGUUAAUACAUAGCGUCUAAAUUUUAGAGUUUAGUGUCUGGCUUGGGAACCAGUAAGUAUCCAGGAACCAGGUGAUAUUUUAUUUCUGGGAACAAAUACUGCAUUUUCAGCCAAUUCUCUCUAUGCAGGCUCUUAAUUACACAUAGUAUAUCCUGUAAAUAAAUUUUUCGCCUGACUGACUUACAUCUUUCCCCAGACCAAGGACAACACCAGCAAAGAAAUUCAUCCCAAGUAGUGUCAUCAACAUAGAUAUGUAUAUAUAGGGAGAUAUUUAGGAUAUAUUUACCUCUCUAAUUUUGAAAGUGGAUAGAGCAAGUCAGGGAAAACUGGCAUACUAAACUGGUUGGGAGUUUUAGUAGCAGUCAGAGACUCAGAUAAUUUCUUCAGUGGAAAGGGGAAUAUUUGAUUAUGAAUCUUUCUUUACAUUUUACAAUUAUACUUUCUUCUCAUGUAAUUUUAUGGAAAUAGUAUUUGGGCAAUACUACCAUUUAUACUGGGCUGAGCCUGCUAGUCAGUAUUACUUAAGCCCAGUAACUAGUGGUUACUCAGCAGUUUCAUGAUAGCUCGGUCACUAGAUAGGAUCUUAGACAAGGUCUUAUUUGCCUAAUACCAAACACAGCACUUCCUCGGAAUACACACUUAGUAGCAGAUGCCUUGCCUGAACAAUUGCCCAGCAUCAGGAAUGGUCAACAUACAAAACAAACUCCCAGCUGCUUUCCCCAGGCUGCAAAGAGAACUUUUGAAAGAAGCCUAUUUCUCCAAUUUCUGCUCUGUCUCCACUAAUUUUUCCACUGAGUUAUAUUAGUUUUGUAAAACAAUAACAUACCCUUCCUUUUUCUUCCACAACUUUUUUUUUUUUUUUAAUAUGUAAAGUAACAGAAGGUGAAGGCAAGAGCACACAGAGAGCACUUCAGCUCUUUGAUAGCAACAAAAAGACGUUUAUGCUACCAGAACAGUUUCUUGCACAGCAGUCAUGGGACACACAAGUUUGGACUUCAGUCUUGUGAAAAUAUUUAGGCUGUAAAUGUCCAGGAGGCUCUGGAUGGGGAAGCUUCCAUCUACCAUACCUCAGUAAAAACAUGAAAUACUCAGAAAAAACAUGAAAUACAUACUGAUUCUAUAAAAUAGUGAUAAACUAUUUAUAGUUUGUCAGAAAAACAUGAGAUUAUUAACAGCUACAUUGUUUGGGAAAUAAAGUGUUGUAUUUUUUGAAAUUUAUUUGUUUUUUCUCUCAAUGACUGAACUAUUUCAUCUGUAGUAGCUCGAUAUUAAAGAAGAGAACAAGUGGAAAGAGCAGUUCUCAUGGAAUAUUUUCACAGCUGUGGUCUCUCUGGUAAGACAGCAGAUAUUUACAGUAAUAUAACCAUUUUAAAAGGGAUCAUCUCCCUGUUUAUGGUUUGACAAUAACACUUGUGUUCCAAACUACAUGACAGAUCUCAGACACCGAUUGUUACAGACCUAGAUAAACAAUGAAACUAUCCUGAUUUAGACCAGCUAAGGAGCUGGCUCUGAACUUUAAAAUCAAACAUCCUCAGCAUUUGUAAAAGAAUCCCUUCCCUCAUCUCCAUUCACCCCCUUAUAAAAUGAAACCUUUAGAUUUUCAUCUGAUGAGUAUUGCUGUGCAGUGAAGAUAAAUCAGGAACUUCUGAAGAGGCUAACUAAUUGUGUGAACUAGAUUUCCUCAGGUGGAUUGAAUGGUAUUGGAAGUAAGCAAAACAUAGUACUAAGAAAACUUUUAUAGCCAGAUAGUAUUUACUCUUAAGAUAUAUUUCUCCUGUCCCCAGUGAACAUCUGCAUUUGCUGUAGAAUUCAGCUUUGAUUUAGCACCAUGAUCCCAUGUUGUGAAUGCUGAUAUUUCACUGAGAUGCUUGUUCAAGAGGAGUAGGGCUCAAUCACUUCUGCUCCAUCCAUCUUCAUGAUCAUAUGUAAAACUCAGUGCCUACGUUUCCUCUACUUUCUUUUUUACCCUUUACAAAGGGAUGGUGACAUUACAAGUAACCUCUGCAUGCUCAUAAGUUCUGUCGCCUCCUCCUUCCCUUCCCAGGGGACUGGCUGCCUGAACUUUGUGGCAGUUCUGACACAGCACAGCUAUGUAACUGGCCAGGGAACAGCUAAGGUGAAAGAAGGAGCUGCGAGAUGCUUUUGUCUGGGGCCUCUGUUUCUUGUCUUGGGAGCUACAUUUAAACUCUUCCCUUGGAGGAUGCCCAGUCUAUGCUGUAGGUCUGCUUGUACCUGGCACUGCACUGUGCUCAUCCUGAGUCUGUCUUGCUGACCCUGGCCUCAUUCCUGCUUCAUCACUGCAGACUCGGUUGGAAAUGUCUAGACUGUCACCUUAGAUGGUUACUGUCACCAGAACAUCUCUGCCAACCACACUGUAGGAUCAAAUUCUUUCUUGGUAAGGACCCUGCCCAGCUGGCCCUCCUGCCAAUCUUGGCUCCCAGUAGUAAAACCUUCACUGUAACAAAAGAUAAAUUACACUUUAAGACUAAAAUCAAAAUUAGUAACAAGGAUUUCUUACGCUCCUUUUACAUACAGAAGACUUGGUUUCAUAAGUGUGCUGGACUUCACCAUGGCUGUCCAACAUCCUGAACUAUCAAGUCACUUGCUUAGACUGGAUCUGUUUCUGACAUCUCGUGUUUUCUUAAAAUUUCUUCAAUUGUAAACAUAAAUAGGACAGGUAACUACCUCUCACCUGACAUCCAGUGCUUCCUUUCCAGUCUGUGGAGAGGAUAAGCACUUCUAGAAGUCCUUCUGUAGACUUCUAAAAGAGGCCAGCUACAUCAAGUCCCAAAAUCUACAUUUAGUGUGAGGUCACUGGCUGAGGUGUUGAUAUUUACAGUACCAUGGAUAAAGGAGUUAAAGCACCUACUGACCUAACAUAAAAAGUGCUUAGUGAUACAAAGAAUAACAUAUAACAAAGCAAGGGGUGGGGGGAACUACUUUAGUGCCUUGGAGUCUUACCUAGGUCCUAACACAAGAUCAGGUUUCCAGACAAAAAAAUUAGAUGAACUUGAGUCCCAUGUAUCAGACCGCCAACCUCUUUCUUCUCUCAUGAAAAAUUGCAAAAGCUUUUCAGUCUAUGCUGGGGUGUAAUGAAAGCAACUUUCAAGACUUCUCUAUUUUAUCAUAAAAUUAAAUUCUUACUUUAUGAUCACAGUUAGAACCUUUAGGCAUGAAUACAGCACAAAUAAAUAGAGUAAGAAGAGGCCAAGCUAUAGCAAAAUGACAGAAUUAUCAACUAUACCCUGCAUAGCUCUGAAAUACAGAUUUCCAUUAACAGAUGGCAUAAUCUAUGAAGACUUUUAAAUUUAACUGCUCCCUCAUACUCAGGAUACUCAAAUUAAAGAUAAGACAAUGAACGAAAUAACUGCAAAUCUACAAAUGUUGCAAUAUUUGUUUGAUGAGAAACUCAGUCAAAACUGUAUUUAACAUUAAUUAAGAAGCCAGAAAUUAAAAUUACUUUGGCCUCAGUUAUAAGGAAAACAGAAGGCUUCUUUUUUUAGCCAAAACAUUUUGGAUUAUGUUUUUGUGCUGUAGUCACACAAAGCUUUUAAUUCUGUAAAAUGUUUUGGAACAUGCUUUGUAUGAAAAACUAUUCCAAAUCAGCUAAUAAUGUACUGAACCUUCCUGCUGAGCUUUAACUCUGGUUUGGGAUUUUAUUUUUCUUAUUUUUUUAAAAAUUCCUUUGUUCCCCCCACACACCCACUUUUGGUUGAUAGCAAAAUAUUGGACUGAAUGUAAAGUAGAAGAGUAGCCGUAAUGUGCCAAAGCAUGAAGUCUAUAUACAGUCUGAAUAGGAUAAAUACGUGACUUUUGGAGUGAUAAACAUUUUAAGAAUAAAGACAUGCAGAUGUCAAGUGG